UCGCCAUAUUCAUGAAACUACUAUAUAAACUGAAGCUGUAAGGGUUUAUUCAACACACAGACAAAGAUCCACAAUAUUCCAACGCCUCGAGGUUGUUCAUCUGCAUCUAAACUCGUAUCUCUGAUACUGUCUCUUGUUGUUGAAUUUCUCUGAUUUCGCUAAAACAGAUAUCUGAAUUUUUUCUCGCCUCUUUGUGAGAAAUCCUGUAGAAAUCUUACUAAUUGAUGUGAUUUUUCUAUGGACUUACGUCCACAAGAGGCGUAAAUUUAUUGCGGAAAUGUUGAGUCGCUUUGCCUCUGUUAAUCACCGGGCGCAGCUAAUAAAACCCCGCUAAAUUCAUCAACUUUUAUUGGUUUUGUGUGGUUUUCUUUCUGUAAGUAUUAAUUGAUGUUGCUUUUUGAUAUUUUUAAAUCGAAUUUGGUAUCCAAUGAUGGCAUGAUAUCUUUGAGACCUGAUUUUAACAUCUUGAUGACAAGCUAUAAGCAUUUUCGCUGAGGAUCCUUUCAAAAUAAGUUCUUUAUACUUUCAGCUGAUAAAUGACGAAUUUUUCACCGAUUUUUUUUCGUAAAAAUUAGAAAUUGUUCAGAGAUGAUGAAUUUUGCACUGGGCUCUGAGAGCAAUUGAAUUAAUUGCUUUGUUUGAUGCAUAAUGCAGCCUAGAAAGCUAGUCUGAUCGUUUAUCUUUAAUCAUUUACAUGAUUGAAACAAUUUUUUUGUUGAUUAUUGUUUGCGAUGAUGAUUGGACUUGCAUCCCAGCUCACUCUGAGACCUUAAUAUGUUUAAGGCUUGCAAUGAUGAUGGCAUUAUCUAAUCCCAGCUCUAUGAGACUUUAAUUUGUUUAAGGUCAGGGAAUUACAACGUUUAGUGUUUUAUCUGAGCUUUUGGCUAUUUUUAAAUCUCUUUUGAUGAUUUUUUAAUACAAAUUUGAGGUGAUUUUGAAUUUCUUUAUUACUUUUGUAAUAAAACAUAUUUGAUAAAACACAAAUUUGAUGGGUUUUCUAUUUGAUGUUCCCGAUGAUGCAUGAAUUUGACCAUGCUAAUUCUGAUUAUGAUGAUACAUUGUUAUGUCAUUUCUGAGGGAACAAAAAACAUUUACAAAACUUAAUGAUACAAAAUCAUACAUUAAAUGUUUUUUUUAUCUAUCACACAGCUAAAAACAAUGUAAUCCAUUUAAGACGAAAUCUGUUUGAGGAAACAAUAUUGAUAUUAGAAACAAUUAUAUAUAUACUGUGUGUUACAUGGUGGUUAAAAUUGUAAAAUAAAAAUAUAACAAUUAAUCAGAUAAAUUUAAGAACAAUUGUUUAUAUAACACAUUGAAAUAGUAUAUUAUUAAGUAUUUUAUGUUUAUUUAAAAAUAAUUUAUAAAUUACAUAUAAAUAAUAAGAACAUUACUUUUAGUGAUAGUUAAUAAAUAAAGAGUAAAUUACACGUCUAGUCUUUAUGGUUCAGAGUAAUUUGUGCGUUUAGUCUUUAACUUAUUUUUUUAGCGUUUGGUUUUUAACUUAUUUUUUUAACAUAGAAGAUUCUUGAUAUUUGGUUUUGUUAUGCUCUUGGUCCUUGUUUUGUCUAAAAAGAUUAUUUUGCCUUUGAAUUUUUAAUUUGUUUAAAUAAACACAACUUUAAUCUCGUCCCCUCAUUUUAUUUUACAUAUUUCAUUAUUUUUUUUUGUAUUUAAAUAAUAGUCUUUUAGGUAAGAUAGGACAUAAAAACAGACUGUAGGAUCCAAACAUGUAAUAAAAACAAAUAGUAAAGACAUUUUGAAUUAAAAAACUAAAUUAGGGACCAAUCAUGUAUAUCACCUCAAACCAUAAGGAACAUUUGUGUAUUUUACUCAUAAAUAAAUAAUGUUGGCAUACCAUCAAAUAUAAAAUUUGAUAUAUUGAAAUAACAAUCAUAUUAAUUUUUUUAAAAGCAUGGUCUAAAAACUAAUUGUUUGGAAAUCACUAUUUUAUAAAAUAUUAGAUAAAACAAUAUCCUUUCUAAAACAAUGUAUUUGUCCAAAUGUAAUAAAAAAUAUUUUUCUUUCCCAUAAACUAAAUUAUAAGAACAUAAAUUAUGAUAUUAUGUAUGAGUGAACUAUGACAAGUAAGUUGAUACAAAUUUUUUAUUAGUUGAUUUCUACGAUCAACAGUGAAAUUCCUUUUUUAAUUAAUUGAGAUUUAAAUAUAAUUCAACUUUUUUCAAACAGUUAAUGAACCAUGGGGGUAUUAACGUCAUUAUAAAGGUAAUUCGUGCCAACAUAAUAGCAUAAUUUUUUUUCCAACUAAAAUCUCUAUUCAAUUGAGAGACAGAUAGUUGGCAGCCAAAAUGAUGUAUGAGACGCAGAAUUUUCAUUAAUCCUUACUUUACAUGGUUGUAUUAUGGAGUAUUUAUUAUCACUUUUCACAAGGAUGUAGAAAUUUUAAGUCACACACAUAAAUCAAAUACAUACACAACCACAAAUUCAAUUAGAGGUGGCAAUCGUGUCGUGUCUGGUUUUUGUCGUGUCGAAACACUAAACGGAUUGAAAGUGUUUGACCUUAACCCGGCCCAUUUAACUAACGUGUCGUGUCAUGUCAACCCAUUUAUUUUCGUGUCGGGUUUCGGGUUAGGGCUAUACCUUGAAAUAUGUCAUGUGAGGUUAAAAGAUUGAGCAUGUUGAAAGAGUAUGAGUUUGGUAGGCGGAAAGAAAAAACUAACUGUUUUGAGGCAGAAUAGACGAAGUCAUAGCAAGUCUAGAUGACAAAAUUAAAAGAGUGAGAGUUAGAUAGGCGGAUGACAAGGUCAUGAGGAUGUGAGAGUUGUGAAAGUGAUUGGGUAGUUUGGGAAAGAAUAGAAAAACUGAAAUGAAAUUUUGAUCUAGACGGCUAAGUCAUUUCAACAUUAUAAAACAAUUCAAUUCGAAUGUUUUCUUUUACUUAUGCUUUUGUUUUUGUAUCUAUCUAGUUUAUUUAAAUAAUUUAAAAAACUUGCAUAUAAAUAAAUGGGUUAUUUUCGAGUCAUAAAUUGAAAUUCUCAAUCCUAACCUUAUCCAUUUAAUUUUCGUGUUGUGUCAAUAUGUUUAUUUAAACGAGUUGAAAUAAUUUACCCAAACCUGUUUAUUUCGUGUCGGGUUUGUGUCAGGUUUCGUGUCGUGUUGGAUCAACUGAGAAAUAUUAAUUUGGGGUAACAAUCAUGUGAAGUUAAACAAUUGCCCAUCAAUUGAGAAAAGAUCAACUGAGAAAUAUUAAAUUGGGGUAACGAUCAUGUGAAGUUAAAUAAUUGCCCAUCAAUUGAGAAAUCUCAAUAACGAUAUAUAUUUUACACUUGCAGCUUAGUUUACUUGCGGUACAAUACUACCAUUUACAA